GGGAAAAGCUCAAAUUUUGAAUCUGGCGGUCUUUAGGCCGUCCGAGUUGUAAUCUAGAGAAGCGUCUUCCGCGCUGGACCGUGUAUAAGUUUCCUGGAAUGGAACGUCGUAGAGGGUGAGAAUCCCGUCUUUGACACGGACUACCAGGGCUAUGUGAUGCGCUCUCGACGAGUCGAGUUGUUUGGGAAUGCAGCUCAAAUAGGGUGGUAAAUUCCAUCUAAAGCUAAAUACAGGCGAGAGACCGAUAGCGAACAAGUACCGUGAGGGAAAGAUGAAAAGAACUUUGGAAAGAGAGUUAAACAGUACGUGAAAUUGCUGAAAGGGAAACGCUUGAUGUCAGUCGCGUCCGCCGGGGAUCAGCCUUGCUUAACGGCUCGGCGUACUUCCUGGUAGACGGGUCAGCAUCAGUUUUGACCGUCGGAAAAUGGCUCGAGGAAUGUGGCACUCUUUCGGGAGUGUGUUAUAGACUCGGGUCGAAUACGAUGAUUGGGACUGAGGAACUCAGCACGGCCUUAGGGUUCGGGACUUCGGUCUACGUUUUCGUGCUUAGGAUGCUGGCAUAAUGGCCUUAAGCGACCCGUCUUGAAACACGGACCAAGGAGUCUAACAUGCAUGCGAGUGUUUGGGCGAUGAAAACCCGAGCGCGUAAUUAAAGUGAAAGUCGAGACCUCUGUCGUGGAGGGCACCGACGCCCGGACCGGAGCUUUUGCGAUGGAUCUGCGGUAGAGCAUGUAUGUUGGGACCCGAAAGAUGGUGAACUAUGCCUGAAUAGGGUGAAGCCAGAGGAAACUCUGGUGGA
rnacentral:rRNA from 1 species